UUUAAACGCAGUCGUGAGUUUCCGUAUAUUGUCCGUCUUAUUUAUUUUUUUAUGAUUAAUAUUUUUAUUACUAUUAUAUGGUAAAACAUGAAUAAAAAGUUUAAAUAAGACGGACGAUUAAAAUUAGACGCGAAAGCUCGUAACUAAACUUAAA
rnacentral:pre_miRNA from 1 species